rnacentral:rRNA from 1 species
AUGUGGGAGAGGAAGGUCAAUUGCCAUGGUGUUGCCUCCUGGGUGCAGCGGAAGACCAUUGAAUUGCAUAAAAUUCUUGGGCUCCCUCCUCAGGUUGUAGGAGAGAAGUCAUCAUCGGAAUUUAUACGAGGACAUGUUGAGGAUACGGACAAGAUAUUUUUAUAUGUGAAAGGCAGUAUCUAUUUGGUUCACCUUAAGUCGAUGCAAUCUAGGAAGCUCUUUGAAGCCCCCAAUAGUAUUGCUUACUAUCAUUCUUUCAGGUCUUUCUAUGCGCCAGGUGCGAGGGAGCUCGCGUCACUAACCGGCGCUGUUGAUAGGUCUUCAUCCUGCUGCUCAGCUUGGUCACAUUAA